rnacentral:rRNA from 1 species
UACGGGGGGGCAAGCGUUGUUCGGAAUUACUGGGCGUAAAGGGCUCGUAGGUGGCCAAGCUAAGUCAGACGUGAAAUCCCUCAGCUUAACUGGGGAACUGCGUCUGAUACUGGAUGGCUUGAGUUUGGGAGAGGGAUGCGGAAUUCCAGGUGUAGCAGUGAAAUGCGUAGAUAUCAGGAGGAACACCGAUGGCGAAGGCAGGUCUCUGGGCUGACACUGACGCUCAUGCACGAAAGCGUGGGGAGCAAACAGG